rnacentral:lncRNA from 1 species
GCCCAGGGAAGGCAUGAAUAAUGGGAGAGAGACCCAGCUUGGACACAAAUUGCUAGGGAACGUUGUUGGACAGGAAAGCGGCUUGAAAGGUAAAUGGGGAUUUUUAUAUUGAAAUAUUAUGUUUUCAUUACGCUUGGACGGUGAACAAAAGCUCAUAUUUGAGUAAUAAAAUUAUAAAUGCCAGAGUGAGAACAGCUGUAGGAUCGUGAAGGGGUUUUUUUCCAUGCAGGGCAAGCCAGAAGUUAUGAUUAUCAUUUCUUUUAAUGUGUAUGACAGAGAGAGAAAGAGAGUGAGAGAGACCUUCAGCAGAGCAGGGAGUCUCUAUUGCUCAGCACUGGGAAGGCUUCUAAAAAGGCCAGGCUGAGAGAUUAAGAACUGCCACAACUGAUUAGGGCUAUCACCUUGGAAGCUCAACAGGUUGCUAGGGAAAGGUCCGUAGCUCAGGCGCAGAACGUCUGCCUUGAAUGAAGAAGGUUCCAGGUUCUAUCCCAGCAAUCUCCAGGUAGAGUUGGGAAUGUCUCCCUUCUGAAAUUUGGGGGAAGUUGCUGACAGCCAGUGUCUUGGCUCCCACCCAAACCACAAGAAUAAGGAAGAGAUCUUUACUGAGGCAGAGAAAAUUUACAGGCUCAGCAAUAGGUGAGGAGUCGCAGCAGCCACUACGCUCAGGGUAGGUGGCAGGAAAGAUGAGGCUAGAAACGGCUGUCUCCAUUUAAGGCAGCGGUUCUCAACCUGUGGGUCCCCAGAUGUUGUUGGACUACAACUCCCAUCAUCCCUGAGCUCUGGCCUUGCUAGCUAGGGGUGAUGGGAGUUGUAGUUCAACAACAUCUGGGGACCCACAGGUUGAGAAAGGCUGAUUUAAGGAGCCUGAGAUCAGGGCAAAGACUGAUUCAGAACGGCACGGAAGCGACAGAGAUGUCCCAACGAGUUGGGAUGCCUACCUUCCAAGCUUGUAAAGAUGUGGCAAGGCCAGCUCACUCCAGAGACUCUUGUGCCUUGUGAGAUUUUAGAGCAUGCAGGUGCUUGCUGUGUGCAACAGCUAUGCCUCUUGCCUUUUGUACAGUAGCCACGGAACUGUCAGAAUCAUAGAAUAGUAGAGUUGGAAAGUUCACCUAGUUCCAUAGCUGUCAAGUGUCCCUUAUUUGGCGGGACAGUCCCUUAUCCCAGUGCCAUGUCCCGCUGCUGUCCCUUAUUGAUGAGGCUUCAUUUGGCUGCUGGCUGGGCUUUCUGCCUUUGGCUCAGAGGGGCUCAGAAGUUGAACAUACCUGUGCCCGGAAAAUCCCUUAUUUUGGCUGCUGAUCCCUUAUUUUCAAGGCUGCUGGUCCCUUAUUUUCAAAUCUGUAAGUUGACAGCUAUGUCUAGUUCCACCCCCUGCAAUGUAAGAAUCACAGCUCGACAAUCCCUGGCAGAUGAACAUCCAACCUCUGCUUCAAAACCUCCAUCAUCAUCAUCAUUUUUAAUUUGUAUACCGUCUUUCUAUCUUACAAUACUCAAGGUGGUUCACAAGCUGAAGAAACAAAAAAUGUACAUCUUAUAAAAAUCUACAGUCCUACCUCGUGUUACAGACGCUUCAGGCUGCAUUUUUUUGGGUUGCGGACCGCCGAAACCCAGAAGUACCGGAACGUGUUACUUCCAGGUUUCGGCGGUCGCACAUGCGCAGAAGCGCUAAAUCACGCUUUGCACAUGCGCAGAAGCACCGAAUUGCAACCUGCGCGUGUGCAGAUGCGCCGCUGCAGAUUGCGAACGUGCAUUCCGCACUGAUCACGUUUGCAACCCGAGCGUCCACUGUACUGCAAUACAAAAAUGUGAUAAUAAAACAAAACUUUAAAAUAAGCAACCUACAUCAAAAAUUAACAUUCAACAAUCAUUAGAAUAGUAUAAAAUAAUAAUAUCAACAUCUAAAAGUUAAAGAGAAAUCCACUCAGCAGUUCCAAUAAAUAAUUUCUAAACUAUAAUCAGCAAAACAACGGCAAGCCACAGUACAUAAAAUAAUACAAUACAAAUUGAGAAGCAGAGACUAGAGGUGGAAGAAGGCCUUGCCUGACAAUGUCUCUCCCCUCCCCUCCAUGACCUAAGAAAGUCCAUUCCACUCUUGACCAACUUACCAUUAGAAAGUUCUUCCUGAUGUUUCAUGGGAAUCUCCUUUCUUGCAAUUAGGUUCUAUCAUCUUGAGCGAGUGGAAGACACACAUUUGCAAUCUUAGUGAGACCAGGAUCUUCACAACUAGAUGCUCUUAAGCAAAAAAUGGGUUCAUAAGAUGAAACCAGCUGCUGGAUCAAACCAAAGCCUGUGGUGUUGAGCAUCUUGUUCUCAUUAUUGGCCAACCAGAUGCCCCAAUGGGAAACGCACAUGCAGGACAUGAGCACAACAGCUUAGGGUCCUUGUAUUUAUGGGAUCACCUCUCCUGGUAUGCCCCACAGAGGACCUUAAGGUCCAUGAAUAACCAUAGUUUAGAGGUCCUGGGCCCUAAGAAAGUCAGACUAUCCUCCACCAGGGCCAGGGCCUUUUCAGUGAUGGCUCCGACCUGGUGGAAUGCUCUGUCCCAUGAGACCAGGGCCCUGCAGGAUUUAACCUCUUCCGUCGGGCCUGUAAGACAGAGCUAUUCCACCUGGCCUCUAAUUUGAAUUUAGCCUGAUCUUUUAUUUCUCUUCUCUUCCCUCCCCCUCCCCUUUUAUGAAGAUCACCCACUCUGAGACCCCACAGCUAAUUCUCCCCUGGCCUCCUCGCUGGCCCAAGUAGGACCAAUUCAGCCAGCUAGCCCUGGGGAUUAUCUAAUUGAUUUUUUAUUUUUGAAUUUUAUUGUUAUUCAUGUUUUUAUACUGUAUUUUAUACUGCUUUUAUAAUUAAGUGUUUUAAAUUUGUUGUUAGCUGCCCUGAGCCCGGUUUUUGAACUGGGAAGGGCGGGGUAUAAAUUAAAACAUACAUUUAUUUAUUUAUUUAUUUAUUUAUUUUAUUUACAGCGCUCUCCCCACUUGUGAUUUCCAGCAACAGGUAUUCAGAAGCAUAGUGUCUCCAACAGUGAAGGUAAAGGUAAAGGGACCCCUGACCAUUUAGGUCCAGUCGCGAACGACUCUGGGGUUGCGGUGCUCAUCUCGCUUUAUUGGCCGAGGGAGCUGGCGAACAGCUUCCGGGUCAUGUGGCCAGCAUGACUAAGCCAUUUCUGGCGAACCAGAGCAGCGCACGGAAACGCCGUUUACCUUCCCGCCGGAGCAGUACCUAUUUAUCUACUUGCACUUUGACGUGUUUUCGAACUGCUAGGUUGGCAGGAGCAGGAACUGAGGAAUGGGAGCUCACCCCAUCACGGGGAUUAGAACUGCCAACCUUCUGAUCAGCAAGCCCUAGGCUCUGUGGUUUAACCCACAGCGUCACCCACGUCCCAACAGUGGAGGUAGAACAUAGCUAUUGUAGGGCUAUUGACUGCUAUGGGCCAUCACAACUACUCAAUGAAACUUCAAGUGAAAUCUCAGCUCCAUGAGAAUUCGCUUAUUGAAUCAGACCGAAAUUUCACCUGGUUCAGAAUCAAGCUUCUCCUUCAGGAAACCCAUGAGCCACCAUGAAGAAUUUCUUUCUCUUUUUUUGGCACUACUUCCAUGGAAUACAUUCAAGGCUGAGUUCCUGAGAGUCCUUGGCCUCUCUGACAUUUUUUCCACCUUCGAAGGCAUGGGAAUGCCAUUGUGAUGAUGUCGCACCAAGUCCACAUGGAGAGGUGAGCUCACUGAGGUGACUCAACGGCUACGAAUUUUGCAACAGGAACCUUGCGAGGAAAGGGCUCUCGGAGGUCAGGAGCCAGCAGCAGUUUAAGGUGGGUUGGAAGCCACCCUGAUUCUUGGCUCAUGCGCAAAGCCGGUGGCCAUCUGGGGCAGUGGAAAGUGGCCUGCAGCGCAUAGGCAGAGGUGAUGAGAAGAGCAAGAGUCUUGAAGGUGGGAGCAACAAAUUCUUAAGGAGGUCUAAACAAUGGGGUGGCUGUUCUCUGAGUCCACCCGCAACAUGCUUUGCAUCCAGUGCCGGAUUUACAUAUAAGCUCAUGGGUGGUGCUGUGGGUUAAACCACAGAGCCUGGGACUUGCCGAUCAGAAGAUCGGUGGUUCAAAUCCCCGCGACAGGGUGAGCUCCUGUUGCUCAGUCCCUGCUCCUGCCAACCUAGCAAUUCGAAAGCAUGUCAAAAUGGCCUUGUUUGCAUCCUGCCCACAGAACAAAAAAAAUGUAAAUGAGAUGGGAGAGUAAGAGAGCACCACAUUGAAUCUUUGAUUUGCUUUGGAGCCGAGGUUUUAGACCUCAGAAGGUGGUGGAUGAUUGGAGGUUUUUAAGCAGAGGUUGGGUCUCCACCUGAAAGGAUUUCUUCAGUUGCGAUUCCUGCAUUACAGGGGUUUGGACUAGACCAGGCACCCUCAAACUCGGCCCUCCAGCUGUUUUGGAACUACAACUCCCAUCAUCCCUAGCUAACAGGACCAGUGGUCAGGGAUGAUGGGAAUUGUAGUCCCAAAACACCUGGAGGGACAAGUUUGGGGGUGCCUGGACGAUACGUCACUUGGGAUCCCUUCCAACUCUUCAUUUCUGUGAUUCAAGGCUGUGUUUAAUUUUUUCUAAUCAGUUCAGUGGUUUUGAAUUGAUUCAAUUGAUUCUGGAGAUAAAAUGCUUGGCUGGUAGGUAGGCAGGAAUGGGCAUGAAGUUCAUCCAGACAAGGUGGCUCCUCUCAGCGGCCUAUGCAAGUCCCUCUGCUUCCCUCCAGUCUGGUUCCUAGAAAGUUUUUCUGGCUCUUUGACCCUGGGACUCUUGAGUCAACUAGACUCAGGAAUGAACUUCAAGGGCUUGUUAAACCCAACCACAGACCAAGGUGAGCUUGAUCCAGACCCCGUCCUUUCUUGGAUUUUGUUCAGUGCUAGCAGGUUCAUAAUUCCCUAGGCAGAAGUCUGAAAGGUGUUCCAGGACAUAUUCUGAGAGAGGAGAUCCUAGCUUCUUUUGGGGGCGGAAAGAAAAAGGAGAUGGAGUAGCAACAUUUGCAGGCCCUUUAGAGCAUGGGUAGGCAAACUAAGGCCCGGGGACCGGAUCUGGCCCAAUCGCCUUCUAAAUCCAGCCUGUGGAUGGUCUGGGAAUCAGCAUGUUUUUACAUGAGUAGAAAAAGGGAAAGAACGAAAAACAACACCAAAAAAAGAAUAGGGGGAAAGGAAAAAAGGAAAAAAGAAAUUGACUUCCGACUAACUCCGUGUGGAUCUUUAUUCCUCAUAUCACUGGUUGUCUGUAAUUAUUAAAUUUUUGGAGAAUUAUUCAUACAUGGCUUAUCUUAGAAUAAAAAUAUCACAGGUAAAUAAAAUAAUUCUCCCCCUCCUAAUUUAAUCCCUGCAAUCCCUAAUUUAAUCCCUUAGUCUGAGAGGCAGUGACCGUCCCAAAAUCACUCAGUGAGAUGAUGAUGAUGAUUUGAAUUUAUAUACCGCCCUAUACCCAGAGGCCUCAGGGCGGUUCACAUAAAAAGAUCACAAUAUACAAAAUAAAAAUUAUUAUUAUUAUUCUUUCUUCAUCAUUUCAGCUUCAUGGCUGAGCGGGGAUUUGAACCCUGGUUUCCCAGGUCAGCGUUUCCGUGAGCUGCUCUGGUUUGCCAGAAGCGGCUUCAUCAUGCUGGCCACAUGACCCGGAAGCUGUACGCCGGCUUCCUCGGCCAAUAAAGCGAGAUGAGCGCCGCAACCCCAGAGUCGGUCAGGGGUCCUUUUACCUUUUACCUUCCCAGGUUGCAGUCGAGCAUGCUAACUGCUACAUCACACAGGCUCUCUGAGUGGAUCAGAGGGAACGAUGUUAAUAAACCCAUGCCAAAGUUAUGUCGCUUGCCAUAGCCUGAGAAGUCUUGGGCAGCCGUGCUGAUGAACACACAGAGGAUGAGGCUAGCAAGCCCUGGGGUGUGUAUGAAGCUAGGAGCUCAGCUCAAACCUUCUGACGCCCUCAGAGUCUGGUCGAAAAUCAGGCGUAGCUUCCAAGACUAAUAGUUACAAGUUGCUCACAUACCGUUUGCUGGGCCGGCUCACUCCAUUGGCUGCCGACCACACUGUACAUUUUAUACAGCUGUGCUCCCGAGGGUCACCAAAGGCUAACAGGUGGUGAUGGAUGGCGUCUGCCAGAUUGCGCAUAACCCCUCCGAGGUGAACUCAGCAUCCUUUCGGGAGGGGAUCUCUGCCACCCUGAGAGUUUAAUAUCGACGCAAACGGCACUCGAGGGAGACGCAUGUUUAUGUGCUCUGUCCAAACACCGUGUGAAUCUGGGACGCCACCAAGAAGCCCCGGGAGCUGUUCUCCCUGGGUGAAUUUCACGCCAAGGAAGCGUUGCAUGAAGGCUUUGAGUGGGAUUUCAAUUGCGCAUAAAGGUUUCUGCACAACGAAGCUACAGAUUCAGCUCUCGGCCUCAGCUACUGCCAUGCUCUCUUUGGAAAAUAGCAAGACUUGCCUCAAAGGGUGUUCUGGUGUGCAUCCCAGAGGUUUUAAGCUUGUCUGACAAGGCGCCACCCCAGUGAUUCGACCACCAUAUUAGUACCUACAAGGAGCAUGGGCCUUUUAGUUGUAGGUCAAGAGCUCAUGAAUGCCUGUCCUUGAGCUACUCCAGGGCCAGAUUUAGGUUUGAUGAGGCCCUAAGCUACUGAAGGAAAUGGGGCCCUUUAUAUGUCCAGCUGUCCUUUGUCAACAACAAAUUGUCAUUGCUUUUUGUGUUGAAUAUAUGCUAUACGGUAAUUUAUGGACCUCAUAGGUAUCUCAAGCCAUUUGCACAUAACAAAAUAUGUAUUUUAUCAAAGUAAUUGUUGAACUGAAAUAAAAUUAAGAAGUAUAAUUAAUAAUUAUUGAUAUACUUUUAUUAAGCUCUAACUUAAAAUGAUUUUUUUAUUCAUAACGAACUUAAUGCAAACACAUUGGCAUUUGGCAAUAGCAAAAGUUCCUUUAGAAAUAUAAGUUACAAAGACUCAUAAUCUAGUCUCUAGGAACUUGCUAUAAUAUGAAAUAAUAAUAGAUGUAAAUAUAUGAUGCACACUACUAAUAACUACAAACAGCAGAAUGUAGGCACCCUAUAUAUAGAAAUGAGCAAACCACUGAUAUUUGAGGGAGCAGGCUAGCAGGUGGGGCCCAUGGCUUACAUCACAGGAGCCUACACAACACAAAACACUGUUGCUGUAUGCAGGUUUUAUUUUAUUUGUUUUGUAUCUUAUAUUUUGUAAAUGUACAUCCGGGGGUUUUCCCCCUUAAUUUCUUUUAGAGGGGCCAAGAUAGUGGGGCCCUAAGCUAUAGCUUGCUUAGCUUAUACAUAAAUCUGGCUCUGAGCUAUUCAGUUGCUCCCUCUGCCCCUAAUAUCAUCUCAUAUCUUAAUGAUGUCGUUCCACAAAUAAGUGAGAAAUUAUUUCAGAAGAUCGUUUCUGUGGAUUCUCUUACACACAAGCUAACAUAAAAAAAUGGCGCAACACAGUAUUUCCAAACUUUUUUCUCACUGUCCUCAAACUUUGUUUUAAACUGUCGCUCCCGCCCCUCAGUGCCACCCACUGCUUACUUUAUUCAAACCUCUACUUUACUCAAAUUUCUGUUGUUUAAAACCACCAUUUCCCUCUGUGUCUCUCCAUCCCUGCUUUACUCAAACAUCUGCUGUUUAAAACAUCUACUUUUUUCCUCUCAGUGUUUCUCCCUUCUCAGUCUACUCAAACACCUCCCAUUCCUCGGCUGCCUCAUGUGAGAGAGACAAAGGAUGCAGAGCUCUCAGAUAUUCCCUUGUGUGAAGGUACUCGCUCAAACCUCUGCGUUGUUUAAAACUGCCAUUUUCCUCUCAGUUCAAUCACUGCUUUGGUCAAACUUCUGCCAUGGUUUUUCGUUCUUUUUUUCAGUUGACAGAUUUGUGGCCGCACCGAAACCACGUUCCACUAAAGGUGAUGAAGGAAAUGCAAUUAAAAACCCCACAAUCCAGAAUAAAGUGCAGGUAUCUGCUUUUGCCGCCAGAACUGUUGGUAGCCAUCUUUGAAUUGAAAUUUCGAUUCUUCGUUUGUUGCUAAUUCUAUCAAAAUGGGUUCACCCAAUUCCAGGAAAAACUCUCCUCUCCAGCACAACCACCGGAUCCAGGGGAGACAUUGCCUUUUUUAAAAAGUGCUUUAUUAAGGUUAAAAAAAAAGUAACAAACAUAAGAAUUAAUAAAGAAAAAUAAAUGAAA